rnacentral:lncRNA from 1 species
GUCCCAGUUUACCCUGAUUGUCCUGAUUUUGUAUUUUUUUCUGUAUUCAACAACUUUCCAUUGGAUGUUGAAGUGGUCUGACACAGCCACACUGCCAUGACAGAUGGGAUGGAUGAAUGGGUGGACAGAGGAAAAGUGAAGAAUCUGGAACCAUCACACAUCAGCACUUGCUGAAAGCCCUGGAUGUAUUCCCACUGCUUUCUCCCCCAUUCCUGUGGAAGAGCAGAAUGGAUAGCACAUCCAGCCUUCAGGUGGCUGCUAAUAUGACAUGUACAACUUCAGACAUUUAUGUGAGCACCCAGAAUAACAGGACAGAGUUGGCCACAACCUGAGGUCAUCUUGCCUAUCAACCACCUAACCACUGCCCUGCAGGUCCAGAUAAAAAUCCUGCUACUCCCUCUGUGAUAUGAGAGGAGUCCCAAAGCAUAAUCUCCAGUGCAGUCUCAUGGACAUUGCUUUUGACAUCAUCAUCAAGAUCCUGGACUGGUGAGUGAGAUGAGGGGAGACGGGGGUCUCUCCUCACACAUUCCUGCUCUGAGCCACAGCUGACUGCCUGAGCACUGCCCAGGGAAG